AGUGAACGCUGGCGGUAGGCCUAACACAUGCAAGUCGAACGGCGGCACAGUAAGAGCUUGCUCUUACGGGUGGCGAGUGGCGGACGGGUGAGGAAUACAUCGGAAUCUACUUUUUCGUGGGGGAUAACGUAGGGAAACUUACGCUAAUACCGCAUACGACCUACGGGUGAAAGCAGGGGAUCUUCGGACCUUGCGCGAUUGAAUGAGCCGAUGUCGGAUUAGCUAGUUGGCGGGGUAAAGGCCCACCAAGGCGACGAUCCGUAGCUGGUCUGAGAGGAUGAUCAGCCACACUGGAACUGAGACCCGGUCCAGACUCCUACGGGAGGCAGCAGUGGGGAAUAUUGGACAAUGGGCGCAAGCCUGAUCCAGCCAUACCGCGUGGGUGAAGAAGGCCUUCGGGUUGUAAAGCCCUUUUGUUGGGAAAGAAAAGCAGCAGGUUAAUACCCCGCUGUUCUGACGGUACCCAAAGAAUAAGCACCGGCUAACUUCGU
rnacentral:rRNA from 1 species